UAGAUUUUAGUUUUCAUAAUAUGUUUUGUAUUUUAUCUGUGCAACUUCCUACAAUAUAGGCUAUUCACAUUAGCAUAUAACAGAUUGAUAUCUUACCCUGACCAGUGUACCUUGUAGAAUUCUGAUGCUCUUGUUUUCCCUUUGUUGCCUUUCCCUUCCCAUCCAAACAGCUGAGUUCUGUGAAGCCCUGCAGCCUACUGCCUUAACCAGAAGACCAGAUGAACCAGGGUUUGACAAACUCAUGGUCCACCUUGACGCCUCAACCUAGUGGACUGACAAACUCAUGGCCAACCUUGAUGCCUCUAUCUAGGGGACCAAACAUGUGGAGACUAUUGAAUUUGACCAUGUCCAUUUCACCUUACUUCCCAAAGCUUAAUAACUUGUGUUCCCA
rnacentral:lncRNA from 1 species